GACGUAGGAUGCAAGCGUUGUCCGGAAUUAUUGGGCGUAAAGAGUUUGUAGGCGGCAUAUCAAGUCUGGUGUUAAAUCCCGUGGCUCAACCACGGAUCGGCCCUGGAUACUGGUAAGCUAGAGUGCAGAAGAGGCAAGGGGAAUUCCCAGUGUAGCGGUGAAAUGCGUAGAUAUUGGGAGGAACACCAGUGGCGUAAGCGCCUUGCUGGGCUGUAACUGACGCUGAGAAACGAAAGCCAGGGGAGCAAAUGGG
rnacentral:rRNA from 1 species